CCCAGCUAGAGAAUCAAGAUAUAGAUCUAGAUUCUAGAAUCUAUAGUAUAUAGGCCACCUAUUAUAUAGAAUCUAGCUCUAGUCGACUCUAGACUAGUUCUAGGAUAAAUCUCAAGUCUAGAUGAUCAGCUUCAUCUUACCUUGUUGAUCAUGGCACGAUCAACAUGAGAUGAUUAAUCAUUAAAUUUUAUUUAAAUGAUUAAUUUGACUUAGUGACUUACUCAGUUACUGACUUGUUAACUUAAACUUCGUCUUAGCCUUAGCUUCUUCAUAUGUGAAUCUUGAAUGGAAGUGCUUGGCUCACAGAUCUACUUUAUCUUUAAAAACGACUCUAAUCUAUAUAGUAGUUUAUAUCUAUAUUUUAUAUAAUAAUAAUAGACCUAGACUUAGACUCUAAUACUUAUAAGAUCUAGAAUCUGUAUCUAGAUCUAUUUCUAUACACUGAUUAUACACUACAGAUUUAAUGUUUCUGAUGAGCAAUACUACUGUCUACAGCCAUUGCCCAUUAACAUAGAGUCCCUACUCAUGUACUAGAUCUAGCUCUUAUUAUAUUAACAACUGUACUAGAUUGGACUAGACAUUCUAAUUGGUUAUAUUUUCUUUUUUCAUUAUUCUCAGACAUUCCAGUAGGUACCAAAUUGAGUGUAUUCACUGUAGAUCUAGAUCUUAACUUUUCUCUUAACUACCAAAGAAGUACACAAAGGAUGUUGAAUGGUACCCAAAGGGCUCUAAUUGCUACCAUUCAAUGUGUGGAUUCAAGUAUUUACCCAGAUAUGGCCACAAUAUGUUUUUAUUGUUUUCAAAGGAGUUUGCACACAGUGCCAGAAGCUGUAUAAAUACAUUUAACAGUGUAUAUUUCAAUAAGAAAUGAUGCUUUCUUAUUCCUAAGAGUUUAUCAAUAGGAUGGAUGCCACAAAACUCACUUGUUAUGCCAAAACUCUUCCUACGAAACUUCCAUACUAGAAUUUGUCCAGUGCCUGUGAUCCUCUGAGUUGAAGGAGAAUGUGCUUCAUAAUACCUACUAGGAGCUUGCUGAUAGCUGGAAGUUCAUGAAUACUAUGUUGUUCUUGAUUUGAUGAUUCUGAAAACUACCAUUUCUGAAGACUUGAGCAUUAUUUCUAUAAUUUAAAAAAAUCUUUUCAGGAAAUAUUGUGUUUAUAAUAUUAAGAAAGUGAAGAUAAUAUUGUUCUUACUAAUAUUAUUGACUUAUUAAAAUAGAAAGCACAUCAUUACCAAUAUUCACUUGUCAAUAAAUGUUAGCAUUUUUCAAUUUUUAGUUACAUGUUCAGACUAUUAAAUUUUAUUAUUUAAAUCAGUGGUUCCCAAACUUUUUUGUCUCGUAGACCCCUUGCCAUGUUUUCUGAUUUUCGGUAGACCCCCUGCUUAACUUACAUUGCAUUUUUGCACAUUAAUAAACUAAUUUUUAAACUAAUUUCUAACUGCAGUGAGUCGAAGAGUGAAAAAGUAAUGUAGAGCUACAUGUACAUCAUAAGUUAGAGAGAUCUAUCUUUCUUUUUACAGAUAUAAUUCAAAUUUAAACCAAUUAAAAUAACAAUUAAUAUGUAUUGCUGGAAUCACCAUACAAAUUGGAAAUGUUUUUUUUUUUUGCAUGUUCAUCAUCCGUUUCUACCGAUAUUGUUUCAUAUAGGAAUUCGUUCUUCUUUGAAGUAGUCCUUCAAACAUUAAACAUUAAUUAAUUAAUUUGCCUUAAGUAUCAUUGUAAAAGUGUUCGCAAAGAGCAGUCUCUCAUGUAUUUCUUGAACUUUCACGUCUGGCUCAAAUAUUGAGCCUGCGUAGCUGUUUUCACAAACAAGAGAAAGGGCAAAGGUGAGUUACUGGCGCCUAAACCAGUAAGCUUCGGGCAGGAGGGACUCAUUAGCCUUGGCUUGCAGCCUACCUAGCCGAAGGAAAAUGGAAUUCAAACCUCUGCUGCUUUGCAGCUAUAUACCCAAACAUGGGAAAGGUUUUGUGGGUCAGCCCUGGAGAAAAAUAUGGAGCUGAAGGCCAUUAGGCAGUUUGCAGCUUUAAUGCUCAUCACACCGAUGUGUACUUGAACUGUAGUGUUACUAAAAGAAAUUCGUUUCAUAAUAUCAGAUGAAGGUUUGUGUAAAACAGUUUUUAAAACUACUUCAAGGGCUGGUAAAAUCAAUGUUUUAUCUUUAGUGUUUUCUGUAUUUGGCUAUAGUUUAAGAGAUCUUGUAAAAAACACUCACAAACCACCAUCUUUUCUAUAUGAUGUUGAAAAAAGAUUUUGUGAGUCUAUUCUGAAUUUUUUUUUCACUUUUCUCUUUUUGUCAGGGUGGCAUAGUCUCAAAUAAUCCUUGAGUGUAAUUGGUUUCUUAUGGCCAUAAAAGGCUCUUAUUAUAGACAAUCGCUUAUUUAACAAGGAAAUAAAUAAUCAACGCUUUAAAAUCAAGAUUUCUUUUUGUUAGACAUUACUUACAUGUAGACAAAAUUAUCUAUUUAAAUAAGUAUUGAAAUUAAAUACAACUAUUUUACUUUUGAGUUUGGGAAUAAAUAUUUAUAACUAAAGUACAAAUCAUUUAUAAGUGUUUGAAAUAGUUACAUUAAUGGGGUGUGAACAUUAAAGUCAUAGACCCCCAAUUUACUUUUUCACUUUCGUAGACCCCUUUGAAGUCUUCGUAGACCCCUGGGGGUCUAUAUAGACCACUUUGGGAAUCACUGAUUUAAAUUAUAGCAACUUUCUCUUUCACUCAAGCUUAAGAUACAUUCCUGUAAAAAGUCUAUAAUAAUAAGUUAAUGUCGAUGUAGUAUUGUUUAGACACUUACAAGUUUAAUCAUCUAUACUUCACAAAAAAAAGUGUUUGAAUGGUUUUCAUUCAUUCAUGGCUGCCUGGUCAUGCGGCUUGGGCGCUGGACUGUCAUUUGGAUUUGCCGAGGGUUCAAACCCUGCCCGCUCCCAUCCCCCGUCGUCCUGCAGGAGGUUUGGACUAGGAAGUAAACUAUCUUCAACUCUGAAGGAACAUCCGAAACAUGUGAAACAUUUUACAAACAUUUUACAAAAACAUUUGUUUGUACAUCAAAUAUGUAUUAAUAAAAUUAUCAUUUUUAAAUGAAACAUUAAAUACUGAAGCUGACCAUUUCAAUUUCUAAUGUAGGUCUAUUCUCAUUUCAUAAAACAAACAGAAUAUUAUCUGAAAUUUCAUCCCUUCAUUGUAACUAUAACUGGCCUCAUAAAAAAAUGGACUGAUGACUGGGUUGACUAUACAUUUUGUAUAAAUUAUGCAUCAAUGAAUGUAGCUUAUACUGUUCUUUUCCUCAUCUUGAAAUGUGCUGACUGAUAAUUUGCUGUUGCAUUAUGUUUUCAUAAGUCAAUGACACAUGAUACUCUAAAUGACAAAUAUCUUCUACUCAUUACAAUAGCACAUUUCCAUGCUGUUUGUCUAAGUGGAAGCAGAUAAAAUUUGUACCUCUAUUUGCUGUACAAUCUCAAAAUUCAUGAGCAGCUGAGAGAAAAAGAAAAGAAAUUCAAACUAGUUUAGACAUGUUAUAAAUAUAUAUAUUUGCUAAUAACAAAUGUAAGACUACUUUAUGUUACAACAAUGGACAGCAUCUUUAAAGCUGAUUUCAAUGCAAUCACAAGAAAUAAUUUUUUCUCUACAAUUAGGCCUGCUUUACUGAUUUUUUAAAAAAUGUAAAUAAAUUUUAC